rnacentral:rRNA from 1 species
ACGUAGGAGGCGAGCGUUAUCCGGAUUUACUGGGCGUAAAGCGCGUGCAGGCGGUUCAGCAAGUUGGAUGUGAAAGCUCCCGGCUAAACUGGGAGAGGUCGGAUGAGACUGCCGAGCUAGAGGACGGUAGAGGGGUGUGGAAUUCCGGGUGUAGUGGUGAAAUGCGUAGAGAUCCGGAGGAACACCAGAGGCGAAGGCGACACCCUGGGCCGUACCUGACGCUAAGACGCGACAGCACGGGGAGCGAACGG